rnacentral:rRNA from 1 species
AGCGAAAGGGAUUAGAUACCCCUGUAGUCCUGGCCGUAAACGAUGAACACUAGGUGUCGGGGGAAUCGACCCCUUCGGUGUCGUAGCUAACGCGUUAAGUGUUCCGCCUGGGGAGUACGCACGCAAGUGUGAAACUCAAAGGAAUUGACGGGGGCCCGCACAAGCGGUGGAGUAUGUGGUUUAAUUCGAUGCAACGCGAAGAACCUUACCAGGGUUUGACAUCCUGCGAACCUCUUAGAAAUUUGAGGGUGCCUUCGGGAAUGCAGUGACAGGUGGUGCAUGGCUGUCGUCAGCUCGUGUCGUGAGAUGUUGGGUUAAGUCCCGCAACGAGCGCAACCCACGUUUUUAGUUGCCAGCAUUUAGUUGGGCACUCUAGAAAGACCGCCGGUGAUAAACCGGAGGAAGGUGUGGAUGACGUCAAGUCAUCAUGCCCCUUACACCCUGGGCUACACACGUACUACAAUGCUACGGACAAAGGGCAGCAAACUCGCGAGAGCUAGCAAAUCCCAUAAACCGUGGCUCAGUUCAGAUCGUAGGCUGCAACUCGCCUACGUGAAGUAGGAAUCGCUAGUAACCGCAGGUCAGCAUACUGCGGUGAAUACGUUCCCGGGCCUUGUACACAC